rnacentral:tRNA from 13 species
CUUCGCGAGUGGGUUCGAUUCCCUUGCGC